rnacentral:tRNA from 1 species
UGGGGGAUCGUCUAGUGGCAGGACAGUGGACUCUGGAUCCAUUAGCGGGGGUUCGAAUCCUCCUCCCCCAGCCA